AGGCGGUCUAUGCUCUGAACUCAACCCACCUUUAUAACUUCUUCCAUUACUCCCUUUGUACAUACCUCACAUUCUGACCAAACUGGACUCCUUACCAACUGUAUCCUUCUUUUUUCCUCUUUCAAGAAUCUAGCCAUGCUGUCCCUUAUUCCUAACAUGGCCUUCUCUCAUCUCCAGUUCUCAGAACCCAGCACUCUUCUUGGAUGAAGCUUCCCAGAUUUUUCCUGCCAUGCCCAGUCCCUCUCUCCACACCUUUCCUUUCACAGAAUUCCCAUAUUCAUUCGUUUCUAUGUCUCUGUAUCUAAGUGUGUCUAUUGUAUCUAAGUAAGUCAUGUUCUUGCCUUGUUUCCCUUUCAGAAUAUCAAGUUCCUUGAGGUCAGGAGCUGUAUCUUGACCAGCUUUACAUCCCCCUAGUACCACGGCUCACAAAGAACCCAGAGCUACCUGAGGGAACACUGCUUGGAGAACACUCCCUUAGCCCAGAUGGCCAUGCAGUAGUAGAUGUCACAGAGUUGGUGCUCCUGGAAGGGACGAGUUAUAGAAUGACUGAGGUGGGUGGAGCACCUCCCAAAAGGUUUUCUGGAGGACACAAGUUCUGUGUAAUGAAUCUUACUAAUUAAUGAACAGUGACUGAAAAAGCUCAUUAGCCACCGUUCCAUCCGCAUAGGGUCAACUCCAGGAGUGAAGAAUCAGACAAAAGAGAACUGAUGUGUAAUCAGCUAUGAUUUGACAGAUGGGUGGGGGGACCCAGCGCCAGUUUUGGCCUAGGUGAUCUAGAGCAUCAAACAAUCCAACGCCAUCUUCUUUUUGGCUCUAGAGUCUAGUCUGUGAUUGUCCUUUGACAAUAAAUUGCCCUUCCUAUAUUUUCCUCUCCACCUCAUGGUACUGAUAAGAAUGUUAGCUGAGUUACUGAGGCUUACUAUGUGGCAGACCUUGUACUAAGUGCUCCAAAUACGUGAUCUCAUUCAAAUGUCCCAGUGAUUCUGACACAGGUGGGUACUAUAAUUACUCACAUUCUAUAGGCGGGGGAACCACAGCAUAUAGAGGUUAAAUA
rnacentral:lncRNA from 1 species